rnacentral:rRNA from 1 species
GACGAACCGUGCGAACGUUGUUCGGAAUCACUGGGCUUAAAGGGCGCGUAGGCGGGUUCGCAAGUCGGGGGUGAAAUCUUUCAGCUCAACUGGAAAAGUGCCCCCGAUACUGCCGGACUAGAGUUCGGAAGAGGCGAGUGGAAUUCCCGGUGUAGCGGUGAAAUGCGCAGAUAUCGGGAGGAACACCAAUGGCGAAGGCAGCUCGCUGGGACGUUACUGACGCUGAGACGCGAAAGCGUGGGGAGCAAACAGG